CCCAGGGCCAGCGUGCGGGACUGGGCACUGCUCUGGGCCCCGUACCUGUGCUCCGGUGUGGCCUUGGGCACAGCCCUUCUGUCUCUGGUCCUGAACGGUCCCCUGUAAGACCCAUGGAGCCGUCCUGGCUGACACCUUGGCUGGUGAGGACCCCUGAGACGGAAGACGCAGCCAAUCCUGGAUUCCUGACCUGAGACUCCAGCGAGGCAGUGGACGCUGAGGAGCUGGGUGCUGGGGUUCCCACCGAGGCCGAGUCGGGAAGCUGCUCCUCAGGUCGCCCUGAAGUGGAAAAUGUCAGCACGUUACCGGCUCCGCCUGGGGCCCUGAGCUCGAGUCCCUGCCCACCAGCACCCUGGAGCGGAGAACCAGGCCCGAAACGCCCUCGUGAGGGAGGGGCCCUGCCGAGCCGCCAGAGACGGCGUUUGGGAGACCCCCGUGUCUCGGAGAACUCCCUCCCCACGCCUCCGGGCUGUGUCCCCGGCACCUCGGUGGGGCGGGUGGCCUUGGCCGGGGGUGUGCCGCUGCCACCCCCAGAAGGCUUGCGUGACUGUUCUAAAUACUCAGCGAUUUCGAGAGCUGGUUGUUAAAUACGGCCACAGAAGCUCACAAUUAAAUGCAUUAUAUUAACAGCAGGUAAUAAACAUCCCAAACUCAUCA